rnacentral:tRNA from 1 species
GGUUGUGGCUCAAUGGUAGAGCGCUUGCCUCACAUGUAUGAGGUCCUGGGUUCAAUCUUCAGCACCA